rnacentral:miRNA from 1 species
UGGGGUGGUGGAUUCUGU